GGGCGAUUGGCGCAGUGGUAGCGCAGCUCCCUUACACGGAGUGGGUCGGAGGUUCGAAUCCUUCAUCGCCCACCA
rnacentral:tRNA from 1 species